UAGUCGUGCUGUAAAUCGCUCUGACAUUUCUCUAUUUUUUCAGUGUAUUAAUUUCACUUUAAAAUUGUAUAGUGAGUCUCAGUGUGCGUAGUAUCUUAUUGUGCAUCUAUCUCCGUAAUUACAUCUGUCUAGUGUUCAGUGUGUGCCCAGAAUUCCAGUUUUUGUUAGUUGCACUGUCCAUAUAGCUCCUCUGAAGAAUGCGAAGAAUUUAAGGAAUUCGGAGACGUAAAUCGCACGCAUCCUGACAUGCCGCCUAAUCGCUCUCGCUCGCCAAACGCUAAUCUAUCUACUCGCGCCGGCCGAACCAUUGUUGCCCGGCUGGCCACCAAUGCCAUCAUAAAUGUUUCUGACCGAUCCCAGGCUUCUACUGAUUCUGAUACGCGGCUUCUACGGUCUUCGACUAAGAAUCUCACAGCGACGAGUGCUGCCCCCACCGUGUUACAUGAUCUUUCAACACCGCAAGUUCGUAAAAUUCCGUCAUCCAGUAGUCGCUCAAAAACAACGUCUAGCACCAGUAACAAGCUAGGCAGCAGCCUACUGAUAAAUGGUGGGAAGAAGAGCACAAAGAAGAAGGCAACAGUUUUAUCUCCCUCGGAAAGCCCUACGACCUCUAGCGACAGGACGACCUCUAGCGACAGGAUGCUGAACAAAACUCGAACUAACGUGACAAGGAGUGCAACGGCGUCAUCUAAUUUUUCGGCACCCAGCAGACGGGCACAGAAGACAGCGCUGACUUCUAAUGAUAGUGACGAGAGCAGCGUACUCGAAUCAUCCUCUCCUGAUAUCUACUCCACACCAACGACCUCCAUUACACUGAUGAAGAAAAAGACGGUGGCGCCCACGGUCAAGCUCACUGAACGGUCAAGGAAGAAAACACUGCACAGAAGUAUCUCUACCCAGUGUGAUCAGCUCCAACCUGAUAAUACUGCCUUCCUUACUUGCGCUUGCAAGACGGAAGACCACAAACCUUCUUUCGGCUUACAAGAGCAAAGAGAUGCCCUGAU
rnacentral:lncRNA from 1 species